GGUCUGAUUAUCCAUGGGUGUUCUCCUACUGCAUUUUUUAUUUUUUAUUUUUUUCUUUAGCGAAAUCUCGAGGAUUCAGAUAGUAGCAAGCGCCGGCGAGUUUGGAUUUUGGCUAAUAUAAGAGUUAGAUUCCGAGAAGAAACGCUUUGAGGGAGGAAGGGAGAGAGAGAGGGUGUGCUUGUGUGUGAGUGUGAGGUGAAAGAAGCAAAAGAUGCUUGGAAGAUGUGGAAGGAGAUCGGAGACAGAGAAGCGGGCAAACUACGCCCAAGAUUGUUCGCAAAUCGCAUUAAGUCCAAUCGAGUCGGCACUCUCCAACUCUCCAAUCACAAAGACAUCGUCUCCCCUCACAGAGGCUCUAUCAACUCCCUUCAGGUUGAUUUGACAGAGGGACGAUAUUUGCUCUCUGGUGCAUCGGAUGCUUCAGCAGCUGUUCAUGAUGUUCAACGUGCCACAGAUUAUGAGGCUGGUGGUCUCAUAGCAAAGCACAAAUGCAUAUUUGUUAUUGACAAAAAACAUGAACGUGGGCAUAAAUAUGCCAUAUCAUCUGCCAUAUGGUAUCCUGUUGACACAGGGCUAUUCAUCACAGGUUCAUAUGAUCAUCACAUAAAUGUUUGGGAUACAAAUAGCACACAGGUGGUGAUGAACUUCAAAAUGCCUGGGAAGGUUUAUAGGACUGCCAUGUCCUCAGUGGCAACGUCCCACAUGCUAAUUGCUGCCGGGACGGAAGAUGUUCAAGUUCGCCUUUGUGAUAUUGCUUCAGGGGCAUUUGCUCACACACUGUCUGGUCACCGGGACGGUGUGAUAUCGGUGGAAUGGUCAACUUCUAGUGAGUGGGUUUUGGUUACGGGAGGAUGUGAUGGUGCAAUACGUUUUUGGGACAUCAGGCGUGCUGGAUGUUUUCUGGUUUUAGAUCAGUCCCAUUCUCAGCUUGGGAGAUGCCCACCUAUUCCUGAACGCUCUGCCACUAAUAAGGCUUCAACAUCGAAGUCCCUAUCACGGGCACAACAAAGGAAGCUUGCUGGUGGGAAUGGUACAAAACAGUCACCCACUACUGGAAUGCCAACUAAGGGAUCUGUGAGACAGAGAUUACAUCCUGGGCUGUUAUCUAGUCAGGAUCGUGCCACUGCUCAUUACGGUGCUGUUACUGGGUUAAAAUUAACUGAAGAUGGCAUGUAUCUUCUAAGUGCAGGUUCUGAUUCAAGAUUAAGGCUGUGGGACGUUGAAUCUGGCUGCAAUACACUUGUGAACUUUGAAACUGUCCGACUGCAAACCAGCAAGCCAAUACAGUUGGCGACAACUCAGGAUUCAGCCCUUGUUUUUGUUCCAUGCAUGACAGCUGUGAAGGCAAUCUCGUUCUCUAUGGCAUUUGAUGUAUGGUCAGGUAAGACAUCCCUGACAUUUCGAGGACACUACGAAUAUGUGAACUGUUGCUGGUUUAGUUCUCAGGAGCAGGUGCAAUGCUGAUUCUCUUCUUACAUAUCAGUACCUACCAUUUAGAAUUAUACACAGGUGGAAACGAUAGACAAAUUCUUGUGUGGUCCCCAUCCAGUUUGAUUGCGGAUGAAUUGGAUGAAGAACAAGCUCAAGAUCAGGAUAACUGGAGCGAUUGAUAUUUGCAGCUGUUACUUUCUGGUUCUUUGAUUUUCUGUCUAAUACAUAGCAAUAUAGCAUGACCUCUUAAGUGCCUAAGCUAUUGUUUUUUGCAUGUAUUAUGUAUAUAUUGAGCAACUUUAUAUUUCCUUGUUAAAUUGAAUUACCAUUUACUCUUUUAGUCAUGGAUAUUGAGUUUGUAAAUAUGACUUGCCACGGUUGGAACGUGGAUUUUCUAUGCUGAUCUUGUGUUGAUUUAAA